rnacentral:rRNA from 1 species
GUACUCCGAAUGCCUCUAGAUUAGAGUUUGAUCAUGGCUCAGAGUGAACGCUGGCGGUAGGCCUAACACAUGCAAGUCGAACGGCAGCACAGGAGAGCUUGCUCUCUGGGUGGCGAGUGGCGGACGGGUGAGGAAUACAUCGGAAUCUACUCUGUCGUGGGGGAUAACGUAGGGAAACUUACGCUAAUACCGCAUACGGCCUACGGGUGAAAGCAGGGGAUCUUCGGACCUUGCGCGAUUGAAUGAGCCGAUGUCGGAUUAGCUAGUUGGCGGGGUAAAGGCCCACCAAGGCGACGAUCCGUAGCUGGUCUGAGAGGAUGAUCAGCCACACUGGAACUGAGACACGGUCCAGACUCCUACGGGAGGCAGCAGUGGGGAAUAUUGGACAAUGGGCGCAAGCCUGAUCCAGCCAUACCGCGUGGGUGAAGAAGGCCUUCGGGUUGUAAAGCCCUUUUGUUGGGAAAGAAAUCCAGCUGGCUAAUACCUGGUUGGGAUGACGGUACCCAAAGAAUAAGCACCGGCUAACUUCGUGCCAGCAGCCGCGGUAAUACGAAGGGUGCAAGCGUUACUCGGAAUUAACUGGGCGUAAGC